UACCCUGGGGGACCACAGCAUGCUAAAAAGUCAAGAACAAAGUGGACAGCCCAAUCCGGCACUUUCUACACGACCAACACUGAUAGAAAACCAGGGCUGUGUCAUUCGGCUAGAGCCGAACCAGAGGUGUGUCUCUCUAUUUGGAUAGUUCUUCCUUCUGAAAUCCAAAAGUUGGGAUGUGGUAAACUUCUCAGAUCCUGCUUCUCAAUAUGGUAUUUUACAUGUGUUCUCUAAAAAUACUUUUUCACCUUCUCAGCUUAUAUCAGAGCAAUUUAGCACCAUUUGAUUAGAACGCCCAGCCCUUCUUUGUAGCCAGCCUGGACUGUCCUCCCCGUCUGGAGUCAUUUUGGCUGCAAAGUGAGGUCUCAGCGGGGUCAGCUGGGUGUCCAGACGUCAGGUAUCAGGCGUGUGGUGAGCGCCUCCAAGGCCACUUUCCUCUCAGCAAUGCCCACUAGGUGACGCCUGUGAAUGGAGUAGCUUUCCAGAGAGCAGGCUUCCUCUCUUCCUUCCUUCCCAGGCCCACAUCUUGCCUCGAAGAUGCUUAAGUGGCAGGAUCCUGAAGAAAUUAUUCUCUGCCUGUUGCUUAGAGAGAGGGCACGUGAGGAUCUCAGGCAGCCAGAAUACUCUUGCGACCAGAAUACUGACAUUUCUGCUUAGUGUGUGCGAUGGUCUAAUUAUAAAAGUGGGAAAAAGCCAAAAACUGUAUAACCUGAAGAGUUUUAGAUUUCUGGGUAGGUUCAUAACUGCUUUCCAAAUGCAAACAAAAUUGCCUGAACUAAGGUGGCUUCUGAUCGUCCUGGGGUGGUAAUCUGAAUACGUGAGCAUUCUGGAAGGAGAUUGGAGACAGGUGUGACUGGAGGCAGGUGUGAUUCUUUUGAGUAUAACAGCGGUUCCCAGACUGGAGUGUGCGUCAGAAUCAACUGCAGGUAUUAUGAAACCACAGAUUUCUGGGUCCCACUCCCAGAGUUCCUGAUUUGGAAAGUCUUGGAUGAGGUCUGAGAAUCUGCAUUUCUUACAAGUUCCCAGGUGAUGCUAAUGCGGCUGGUCUGGGGACCUCACCUAGAGAACCUCUGCAGGACAGCGUUCUGUUAACAAUAAGUUUCCAAUGCGCCACCACCCACCGGAAAAAGAGCACACAGUGACUGACAAGCUGUAUUUUACUGCCUUCACUCCGAGGAUUGAUGUUUCCAGAUUUGAACCAUGAAAAAUGGUAACCUAAUUCAGACCAGAGUGUUACAAAGCAGGGAUUGGAGGCAUGCCAGGCAGAUGCGGAAAUGUGUCUUAGAUAAUGAACAUCAAAAGUAUCUGUGUGCAUCAACGCAUUCUCCUGAGUGAGAGGUCACGCCCCUCCCUACUCUUCUCUUCCUCCCUGGGGUUAGCUGCAAGACCCCGGGCAGAUUUCUUCUCCAGCAAGGUGAGGGGUCCAGCCCAAGCAGCGAAUGCCUUUGGUUUUCACUCUUCACUGGCCAAAGGCUCCCACCAAGUUCAUGAAACUUUUUCAAAGCACUCAGGAUUCAUCAGCUCACACACAGAACUGCCGAAGAAUAGCACGGAUACGUUAUCUCCUUCCCCGUCCCUAAAGAAAGUAUCAGAAGAAAACAAAAUGUUGUUUUUUAGCUUCAAAUCAAAUGCCAGCAAUACAAACUAGGAAGUGUUACAGUUGUGUAUAGAGAAAUAGGAUUAGCAGACAGGGCUUGUCUCUCUGGCACUAAUUCUAGCAGGUUUUCAAAUGCUACUUUUCCUCACACAGGUCAGAGCCACAUGUGUGAGUAAUUUUCAAAAAGAUGAAUAACUGAUACAUAGCUAAUGGGUACCUUCUGCAAGGGUAGGUGGUUUACCUCAGAGGUUCCUAAUCCUGGCUGAUCAUUCUAUUUCCUCAGACACUAAAGCAAAAUACAGAUAAUUCAGGCCCCACCUCCUACAUCCUGCAU
ensembl:lncRNA